GCAAACUUGGUCAUUUAGAGGAAGUAAAAGUCGUAACAAGGUUUCCGUAGGUGAACCUGCGGAAGGAUCAUUAACGAGCCAUUGGAGCAUACGUUGUGCUCCGAUGUGCCCCAUCCUUGCUGAUUGUACCUGUUGCUUUGGUCGUUUGUUGACCCGAUGAGUUCCGUAGCCCACCGGGUUGAUCACGGCCAGAGGGCACCGCUUGGGUGCGGUGCGGUAUUCCAACCCGUCAGUACAUUUUUAUCGUCUGAAAUGGUUGCGAGAUAAUAAAUUAAAACUUUCAACAACGGAUCUCUUGGUUCCGGCAUCGAUGAAGAACGCAGC
rnacentral:misc_RNA from 1 species